rnacentral:rRNA from 1 species
AUUGAACGCUGGCGGCAUGCUUUACACAUGCAAGUCGAACGGUAACAGGCCCUUCGGUGCGGCCGAGUGGCGAACGGGGGAGUAAUGCACCUGAACGCGCCCCGAGUUGGGGGAGAACGCAGCGAAAGCUGUGCUAAUACCGCACGUGAGCUGAGGAGGAGAGCGGGGGAGCCGGCAGCAAUGUUUGGCCUCGCGCCGUUGGAUCGGCGGAUGUCGGAUUAGGUAGUUGGUGGGGUAAAGGCCUACCAAGCCGACGAUCUGUAGCUGGUCUGAGAGGACGACCAGCCACACUGGGACUGAGACACGGCCCAGACUCCUACGGGAGGCGGCAGUGGGGAAUUUUGGACAAUGGGCGCAAGCCUGAUCCAGCCAUGCCGCGUGCGGGAAGAAGGCCUUCGGGUUGUAAACCGCUUUUGUACGGAACGAAAAGCUUUUGGCUAAUACCUGGGGCUGAUGACGGUACCGUAAGAAUAAGCACCGGCUAACUACGUG